UCGCACGAGAACGUUCUGGCUUUGCCAGGACAAGUACAGUGGCGGACGGGUGCGUAUCGCGUAGAUAACCUGCCCUUAGGCGCGGGACAAUCACGGGAAACCGUGGCUAAUACCGCACGUCGUCUGGGCCCCGCAUGGGGACCAGAUGAAAGCUUGGGGUUACCCAGGCGCCUUGGGAUGGGUCUGCGUUGGAUUAGCUUGUUGGUGAGGCAACGGCUCACCAAGGCGACGAUCCAUAGCUGGUCUGAGAGGACGAUCAGCCACACUGGGACUGAGACACGGCCCAGACUCCUACGGGAGGCAGCAGUGGGGAAUCUUGCACAAUGGGGUCACCCCUGAUGCAGCCAUGCCGCGUGGAGGAAGACACCCCUAUGGGGCGUAAACUCCUUUUCUGAAUGAAGAAACCCCUGUAGGUUCAGGGCGCGACGGUAGUUCAGGAAUAAGCACCGGCUAACUCCGUGCCAGCAGCCGCGGUAAUACGGAGGGUGCAAGCGUUGUCCGGAAUCACUGGGUGUAAAGGGUGUGCAGGCGGGGCAACAAGUCGGAUGUGAAACCCCGUGGCUCAACCAUGGAGGUGCAUUCGAAACUGUUGCUCUUGAGUCCCGGAGAGGCUGUCGGAAUUCGUGGUGUAGCGGUGAAAUGCGUAGAUAUCACGAGGAACACCAGAGGCGAAAGCGGGCAGCUGGACGGGUACUGACGCUCAGGCACGAAAGCGUGGGGAGCAAACAGGAUUAGAUACCC
rnacentral:rRNA from 1 species